AGAUGAACGCUGACGGCGUGCCUAACACAUGCAAGUCGAACGGAGUUCUUAAGGAAUGCGACUUCGGUCAAAUGACUUUUGAACUUAGUGGCGGACGGGUGAGUAACGCGUGAGCAACCUGCCUUUCAGAGGGGGAUAACAUUUGGAAACAGAUGCUAAUACCGCAUAAGAUUACAGUACCGCAUGAUACAGUGAUCAAAGGAGCAAUCCGCUGAAAGAUGGGCUCGCGUCCGAUUAGAUAGUUGGUGAGGUAACGGCUCACCAAGUCGACGAUCGGUAGCCGGACUGAGAGGUUGAACGGCCACAUUGGGACUGAGACACGGCCCAGACUCCUACGGGAGGCAGCAGUGGGGAAUAUUGCACAAUGGGCGAAAGCCUGAUGCAGCAACGCCGCGUGAGGGAAGACGGUUUUCGGAUUGUAAACCUCUGUUUUCGGUGACGAACAAAUGACGGUAACCGAGUAGGAAGCCACGGCUAACUACGUGCCAGCAGCCGCGGUAAUACGUAGGUGGCAAGCGUUAUCCGGAAUUACUGGGUGUAAAGGGAGCGCAGGCGGGAUAGCAAGUCAGCUGUGAAAACUAUGGGCUCAACCCAUAAACUGCAGUUGAAACUGUUAUUCUUGAGUGGAGUAGAGGCAAGCGGAAUUCCGAGUGUAGCGGUGAAAUGCGUAGAUAUUCGGAGGAACACCAGUGGCGAAGGCGGCUUGCUGGGCUCUAACUGACGCUGAGGCUCGAAAGUGUGGGGAGCAAACAGGAUUAGAUACCCUGGUAGUCCACACUGUAAACGAUGAUUGCUAGGUGUGGGGGGUCUGACCCC
rnacentral:rRNA from 1 species